GGAAACGGUAGCUAAUACCGCAUAACGUCGCAAGACCAAAGAGGGGGACCUUCGGGCCUCUUGCCAUCGGAUGUGCCCAGAUGGGAUUAGCUAGUAGGUGGGGUAACGGCUCACCUAGGCGACGAUCCCUAGCUGGUCUGAGAGGAUGACCAGCCACACUGGAACUGAGACACGGUCCAGACUCCUACGGGAGGCAGCAGUGGGGAAUAUUGCACAAUGGGCGCAAGCCUGAUGCAGCCAUGCCGCGUGUAUGAAGAAGGCCUUCGGGUUGUAAAGUACUUUCAGCGGGGAGGAAGGGAGUAAAGUUAAUACCUUUGCUCAUUGACGUUACCCGCAGAAGAAGCACCGGCUAACUCCGUGCCAGCAGCCGCGGUAAUACGGAGGGUGCAAGCGUUAAUCGGAAUUACUGGGCGUAAAGCGCACGCAGGCGGUUUGUUAAGUCAGAUGUGAAAUCCCCGGGCUCAACCUGGGAACUGCAUCUGAUACUGGCAAGCUUGAGUCUCGUAGAGGGGGGUAGAAUUCCAGGUGUAGCGGUGAAAUGCGUAGAGAUCUGGAGGAAUACCGGUGGCGAAGGCGGCCCCCUGGACGAAGACUGACGCUCAGGUGCGAAAGCGUGGGGAGCAAACAGGAUU
rnacentral:rRNA from 1 species